GACGAACGCUGGCGGCGUGCCUAAUACAUGCAAGUCGAGCGAAGUUUUUCUGGUGCUUGCACUAGAAAAACUUAGCGGCGAACGGGUGAGUAACACGUAAAGAACCUGCCUCAUAGACUGGGACAACUAUUGGAAACGAUAGCUAAUACCGGAUAACAGUAUUUCUCGCAUGAGAGAUAUUUAAAAGUUGGUUAUGCUAACACUAUGAGAUGGCUUUGCGGUGCAUUAGCUAGUUGGUGGGGUAAAGGCCCACCAAGGCGACGAUGCAUAGCCGACCUGAGAGGGUGAUCGGCCACACUGGGUCUGAGACACGGCCCAGACUCCUACGGGAGGCAGCAGUAGGGAAUCUUCCGCAAUGGGCGAAAGCCUGACGGAGCAACGCCGCGUGAGUGAAGAAGGAUUUCGGUUCGUAAAGCUCUGUUGUUAGGGAAGAAUGGAUAUGUAGUAACUAUACAUGUAAGAGACGGUACCUAACCAGAAAGCCACGGCUAACUACGUG
rnacentral:rRNA from 1 species